CCUCAGUAACGGCGAGUGAAGCGGCAACAGCUCAAAUUUGAAAUCUGGCCGUCCCGCGGUCCGAGUUGUAAUUUGUAGAGGAUGCUUCGGGUGCGGCGCCGGUCUAAGUUCCUUGGAACAGGACGUCAUAGAGGGUGAGAAUCCCGUACGUGACCGGUGACCCAGNCCGUGUGAAGCUCCUUCGACGAGUCGAGUUGUUUGGGAAUGCAGCUCUAAAUGGGUGGUAAAUUUCAUCUAAAGCUAAAUACCGGCCAGAGACCGAUAGCGCACAAGUAGAGUGAUCGAAAGAUGAAAAGCACUUUGGAAAGAGAGUUAAAAAGUACGUGAAAUUGUUGAAAGGGAAGCGCUUGCAACCAGACUUGCUCGUGGGUGAUCAGCCGUCCUUCUGGGCGGUGCACUCGCCCGCGAUCAGGCCAGCAUCGGUUCGGGCGGUUGGAUAAAGGCCCCGGGAAUGUGACUCCCUCCGGGGAGUGUUAUAGCCCGGGGUGCAAUGCGGCCAGCCCGGACCGAGGACCGCGCUUCGGCUAGGAUGCUGGCGUAAUGGUUGUAAGCGACCCGUCUUGAAACACGGACCAAGGAGUCUAACAUCUAUGCGAGUGUUUGGGUGUCAAACCCAUGCGCGCAAUGAAAGUGAACGGAGGUGGGAGCCCUCAAGGGUGCACCAUCGACCGAUCCUGAUGUCUUCGGAUGGAUUUGAGUAAGAGCAUAGCUGUUGGGACCCGAAAGAUGGUGAACUAUGCCUGAAUAGGGUGAAGCCAGAGGAAACUCUGGUGGAGGCUCGCAGCGGUUCUGACGUGCAAAUCGAUCGUCAAAUUUGGGUAUAGGGGCGAAAG
rnacentral:rRNA from 1 species